rnacentral:rRNA from 1 species
GGCGAACGGCUGAGUAACACGUGGGCAACCUGCCCUUUGCACUGGGAUAGCCUCGGGAACCGAGGUUAAUACCGGAUACUCCAUAUUUGUCGCAUGGCGAAUAUGGGGAAAAGGCUCCGGCGGCAAAGGAUGGGCCCGCGGCCUGUUAGCUAGUUGGUGGGGUAGUGGCCUACCAAGGCAAUGAUGGGUAGCCGGGUUGAGAGACCGACCGGCCAGAUUGGGACUGAGACACGGCCCAGACUCCUACGGGAGGCAGCAGGC